rnacentral:tRNA from 1 species
GCGAGAGUAGUUCAGUUGGUAGAAUGUCUCCUUCCCAAGGAGAAGAUCGCGGGUUCGAAUCCCGUCUCUCGCU